AUUGAACGCUGGCGGCAGGCCUAACACAUGCAAGUCGAACGCGUCGCGGACGGGUGUGUUAUGUCUGGGAAACUGCGUGAUGGAGGGGGAAAACCAGUGAAAACGGUAGAAAAUACCGUAUACUAUCAGAUGUGCAUAGAUGGGUUGAGCUAGUUGGUGGUGAAACGGCUCCCCAAGGCGACGAUCCCUAGCUGGUCUGAGAGGAUGACCAGCCACACUGGAACUGAGACACGGCCCAGACUCCUACGGGAGGCAGCAGUGGGGAAUAUUGCACAAUGGGCGCAAGCCUGAUGCAGCCAUGCCGCGUGUAUGAUGAAGGCCUUCGGGUUGUAAAGUACUUUCAGCGGGGAGGCGUUACCCGCAGAAGAAGCACCGGCUAACUCCGUGCCAGCAGCCGCGGUAAUUC
rnacentral:rRNA from 1 species